GAGAAGAUCACACAGAGUGGAUCCGCUCCAUUCUGUUCUGAUGAUGAUACACAGUGCCUGCCUGUGUAACAUGAAACGGCUUUAUUGACCCUCUGCUAAGCCUUCGCUCACAGAUACAAUCUGACUUCUUGCCAAAUACUAUUUUUGGCCAAUGUUUUUCUUUCGGGAGUUACCCUAUACAAAAGAUUCCACCACCCCAGGACCAAGCAGCGUGCUCAGGAGGAGCAAGGAUCCUGGGCCUGGGAGGAAAGCCAGGAGUGGAGGACAUCCUGGGCUUGGGCCGAAAUAAUGUCAGGAGACAAAAGCCUGCCAUGGAAGCAGGCGGAAGCAGCGAAGGAGGAAAGGCGAUGACAUCGGGGCUCGCGGCCACAACGUAGGAAGCCCGAGAAGCAGCCUCAAAAAAAAAUGGGGGGGCACACGGGGUGGUCGGCGGUGCCGAGGUGUGUGCUGAGGUGUGAACCAGAGCCAGUCCACACGGGGUGGAAAUAAGCUUUUAGCCCUACAAAGCUGUACGUUUCGUUGGUUAAUCUUUAUUGUUUUGUUGCCGGUUAUCAUAAAUAAAAAUUAUUAACC
rnacentral:lncRNA from 1 species